CCCUCAUUACUUGGCCUCCCAUAACUAGGCCUCCUCGGUGGCUCCUCCACCUCCGGACUCUCGUAGCUCGGCCUCCCAUACUGUGGCUUCCUGGGGGACCCUUCCCCACCAUAACCAUACCCGCCACCUUGUUCCUCUCCGAAGCUAGGUUUCCGACCGUACCCAGAUCCAUAUUCAGAACUCGGUGCUUCGUACUCAGGCCUCCGACCAUACCCAGAUCCAUACUCCGAACUGGGCUGCUCGAACUCGGGCCUCCGACCAUACCCAGAUCCAUACUCCGAACUAGGUUGCUCGUAUUCAGGCUUCCGACCGUACCCAGAUCCAUAUUCCGUGCUAGGCUGUUCGUAUUCAGGCUUCCGACCGUACCCAGAUCCAUAUUCCGAGCUAGGCUGUUCGUAUUCAGGCUUCCGACCGUACCCAGAUCCAUAUUCCGAGCUAGGCUGUUCGUAUUCAGGCUUCCGACCGUAGCCAGAUCCAUAUUCCGAGCUAGGCUGUUCGCAUUCAGGCUUCCGACCGUACCCGGAUCCGUACUCCGAACUGGGUUCCUCGUAAUCAGGCUUCCGCCCAUGCCCAGAUCCAUACUCACCCUCCCCACCAAAACUCGACGGCGGCUUCGGCUGAUACCCAUACUCACCACCAUCACCACUGCCUCCGAACCCUCCUUGGCCAGGAGGUGGUCCGGCGUAACCAAGGACCGGACGAGGCUUGGGACGAGCAUAGCUCUUGUAUUCAUUCUCAAGAGCUUCAUCACCGUAAG
rnacentral:lncRNA from 1 species